GAUGAACGCUGGCGGCGUGCCUAAUACAUGCAAGUCGAGCGAACAGAUGAGGAGCUUGCUCCUCUGACGUUAGCGGCGGACGGGUGAGUAACACGUGGAUAACCUACCUAUAAGACUGGGAUAACUUCGGGAAACCGGAGCUAAUACCGGAUAAUAUAUUGAACCGCAUGGUUCAAUAGUGAAAGACGGUUUUGCUGUCACUUAUAGAUGGAUCCGCGCCGCAUUAGCUAGUUGGUAAGGUAACGGCUUACCAAGGCAACGAUGCGUAGCCGACCUGAGAGGGUGAUCGGCACACUGGAACUGAGACACGGUCCAGACUCCUACGGGAGGCAGCAGUAGGGAAUCUUCCGCAAUGGGCGAAAGCCUGACGGAGCAACGCCGCGUGAGUGAUGAAGGUCUUCGGAUCGUAAAACUCUGUUAUUAGGGAAGAACAAAUGUGUAAGUAACUAUGCACGUCUUGACGGUACCUAAUCAGAAAGCCACGGCUAACUACGUG
rnacentral:rRNA from 1 species